UUUUCUAUAUUUCUUUUUCAUUAAAAAGCCAACUGGACAGCACUUUUUCAACGAUAUUCUUCUUUGUCUUUUUCAGUGCAACGAGUGCUGGCAAAACGAGUGGUCGUGUAAAAACGGAAAUAUAGUGAAACAGAAUUUCAGAAAGAAUGUUUUCAUUAAACAUUUAAAAAAUAUUAAUUUCUUUAAGAUCUGGAUAAAAGAAAAUAAUUUAUUAGCUAAAUUACAAAAGCAGCAAUAAAAAAGUAAUUUAAUUAUUUAACAAAAGAAAACUUGUGUUGGAAAGAAAAAAAAACAAAUAAAAUGUCUCCAUGACAAAUAAAAGAAUUCUUACUAAACUCAAAUUUUAAGUGUUGCCAACAUAUGUGAAACAUAUAUUUAAUGAAAAACGAAGAAAAAAAAAUUCAAUUAAAUUUUACAAAAAAAACUUAACGAUUUAUUAAUAACAACGACAAUUGUUUUUAACUAAUUGUCUCUAUAUUGUUGUUGAUUUUUGCUCUGGUUGUCAAAACAAUAGAAACAAACAUUUUUACAACAAGGAUUUUAGAAAAUAAUCAAUGAG